rnacentral:lncRNA from 1 species
CUUGUCACCUGGUCGGUGCUCUGGGUCUGGUCAGAGUGGAGUGAAUUUUAAAACUGGAAGGCAGCCCUUGUCUCUUGUCACAAAUGAUAAAUCAUCAGUUGGAGUCCAUAAGAUCUGGAUACACCAUAACCUUUCUGGUUAAGGAAAAUGCCUACCUGCCAGAGCAACAGGAAGAAGAGAUGAGGCCCCAAUACAGCGAGCCCAGAACAGCCUGGAAGGCCCAGGAAGUGUGGUCUAGAUGAGCCUCCGUCAUAACACUACAUAAAGGCCCUACCAUGUCCCCAUCUUACCAAUGAGGAAUCACAGGCACAGAAUGAGAAACAGCAGAGACUCGGCUUUGAACUCAUGUCCAUCUGCCCAGACACUUUGGCCUUCCCCCUCCCCAUCCCGUGGAGGCUCUCCUGAAGGGCUCCUAUGCCCCCUAGUACCUGCCCUCAAAUAAAAAUAAAACAGGAAUCA